rnacentral:rRNA from 1 species
UGCAAGUCGAGCGGCAGCGCGGGGGCAACCCUGGCGGCGAGCGGCGAACGGGUGAGUAAUGCAUCGGAACGUGUCCGGGAGUGGGGGAUAACGCCGCGAAAGCGGCGCUAAUACCGCAUAUUCUCUCUGGAGGAAAGCGGGGGACCUGCAAGGGCCUCGCGCUCGCGGAGCGGCCGAUGUCCGAUUAGCUUGUUGGUGAGGUAAAGGCUUACCAAGGCGACGAUCGGUAGCUGGUCUGAGAGGAUGAUCAGCCACACUGGGACUGAGACACGGCCCAGACUCCUACGGGAGGCAGCAGUGGGGAAUUUUGGACAAUGGGGGCAACCCUGAUCCAGCCAUGCCGCGUGCGGGAAGAAGGCCUUCGGGUUGUAAACCGCUUUUGGCCGGGAAGAAAAGGCUGAGGCUAAUACCCUCGGUUUUUGACGGUACCGGCAGAAUCGGCACCGGCUAACUACGUGCCAGCAGCCGCGGUAAUACGUAGGGUGCGAGCGUUAAUCGGAAUUACUGGGCGUAAAGCGUGCGUAGGCGGUUCGUUGUGUCUGUGGUGAAAGCCCCGGGCUUAACCUGGGAACGGCCAUGGAAACUGGCGAGCUGGAGUGUGGCAGAGGAGGGUG